UUCAGUAUGAGCCAAGUGAAAGUCUAUCAACAGAUCUCAUUAGACAUUAGGAAAGUCGUGACUACACUUUGUUCAUUUGAUGCCAUUGACUGGUCUAUUCCUGGACUGAGAUGGGCAAGAGCAAGAUUUUCCAGAACACACUUUCUCAUGUUAGCUCUGCCUUUCUUUUGUCUGGAUCAGGAAGUUCCUUGAUAGAGAGGAGCAAAGGAAAAAAUAUCUUAUAGUAUGGGACAGGUGAAACAGUGGUCUGUUCAUUCCUAUCCAUCUUGUUUUCAACGCCAUUCAGUCAGCAAUGAAGAGUUUAUCAGCUCAAGGAACUGAACUGUACAACAUUUCGUGAAGAAAUGUGACACCCUUCAGACCGUUCACAAAACUACUUCUUUCAAAUAGGAUUCUGCUGCUAUUGGAACAUGUGAUUUACUGUACAUUUUGGAAUGUUGACGAGGGUAAGGCAGUGGAUGUAGUCUAUAUGGACUUCAGCAAAGCCUUUGAUAAAGUUCCACAUGGAAGGUUAGUUAAGAAGGUUCAGUCGUUAGGUAUUAAUGCUGGAGUAAUAAAAUGGAUUCAACAGUGGCUAGAUGGGAGAUACCAGAGAGUAGUGGUGGAUAAUUGUUUAUCAGGAUGGAGGCCGGUGACUAGCGGGGUGCCUCAGGGAUCUGUUUUGGGCCCAAUGUUGUUUUUAAUAUACAUAAAUGAUCUGGAUGAUGGGGUGGUAAAUUGGAUUAGUAAGUAUGCCGAUGAUACUAAGGUAGGGGGUGUUGUGGAUAAUGAGGUGGAUUUUCAAAGCUUGCAGGGAGAUUUGUGCCGGUUAGAAGAAUGGGCUAAACGUUGACAGAUGGAGUUUAAUGCUGAGAAGUGUGAGGUUCUACAUUUUGGCAGGAAUAAUCCAAAUAGAACAUACAGGGCAAAUGGUAGGGCAUUGAGGAAUGCAGUGGAACAGAGAGAUCUAGGAAUAACAGUGCAUAGUUCCCUGAAGGUGGAGCCUCAUGUAGAUAGGGUGGUGAAGAAGGCUUUUGGAACGCUGGCCUUUAUAAAUCAGAGCAUUGAGUACAGAAGCUGGGAUGUAAUGUUAAAAUUGUACAAGGCAUUGGUAAGGCCAAAUUUGGAAUAUUGUGUGCAGUUCUGGUCACCGAAUUAUAGGAAAGAUAUCAAUAAAUUAGAGAGAGUGCAGAGACGAUUUACUAGGAUGUUACCUGGGUUUCAGCAAUUAAGUUACAGAGAAAGGUUGAACAAGUUAGGUCUCUAUUCAUUGGAGUGUAGAAGGUUGAGGGCGGAUUUGAUCGAGGUAUUUAAAAUUUUGAGAGGGAUAGAUAGAGUUGACAUGAACAGGCUGUUUCCAUUGAGAGUAGGGGAGAUUCAAACUAGAGGACAUGAUUUGAGAGUUGGGGGCAGAAGUUUAAGGGAAACACGAGGGGGUAUUUCUUUACUCAGAGAGUGAUAGCUGUGUGGAAUGAGCUUCCUGUAGAAGUAGUAGAGGCCAGUUCAGUUGUGUCAUUUAAGGUAAAAUUGGAUAGGUAUAUGGACAGGAAAGGAGUGGAGGGUUAUGGGCUGAGUGUGGGUAGGUGGGACUAGGCGAGAUUAAGGGUUCGGCACGGACUAGGAGGGCCAAGAUGGCCUGUUUCCGUGCUGUGAUUGUUAUAUGGUUAUAUGGUUAUUUUGAUGGUGUGUUUUUAGGCCGAUUAAGCAAUUGUUACUGUCUCGAAGGGUCUAAAGGUCGGUGAGCUUAAACGCUAGAAAGGUUGGUGAGCUUUUGAGCAGAGUGGCAAGCCUGAAGGCCAAGAAGCUUGGAGACGGGGCGCGAGCCCAUGAGCAACAUUCUUGCCGAUGAAAGUGUCGAGCAAGAUUGAGACGAACAAGGACAAGAGCGGAAGGCUCUGCAGCCUGCUGUCAACGAAUGACACGACACUAAACUGAAUGUUCCGAGACGGUUUCAAUGACUCGGAGGUUCCUUGGUGUUCUUGUUUCGUGGCUGUCUGUGGAGAAGACUAAUGUCAGGGCUGCAUACUGCAUUUAUACUUUGAAAACAAAUGCACUUUGAAUCCUUGUUCAAAAUGGCAGCAUCGAGGCUAGUGUAACGCCUUACAGCGCCAGGGACCCGGGUUCUGUUCCUGCCGCUGUCUGUAAAGGAGUUUGUAUGUUCUCCCCAUGACUGUGGGGGUUUCCUCAUGGUGCUCUCCCACAUCCCCACGGAGUUGUGGGCAAUCUAUGUUGGCACCAGAGAAGUGGCAAUACUCGCGGGGCUGCGUCCAGUACAUCCUCAGACUGCAUUGCUGUAGAUGCCACUAAUGCAUAUCACUGCAUUUGUGAAAAAUAAAGCUAAUGUAAUCCUAAUCUUAGUCACCCAUACCACCUUGUUUCAGCAACUGAAUAACAAUUCAGAACAAGAACCUGACAAUUCAGUCAACUCCUCACUCCACACAUCCCAGAAUACCGAUCAACUUUUAUUUUUAAUUUAAUUGCCAUAUGCCAACAUCCAAGAAUCACUCGAUUCAAAUUGUGACCUCUUGACACUGACCAAUUGUAUAGGGCUUGUGGAAACCACACAGGAGUACAUCCAAUGAAGACUACGUAGAAUUUUUCACAUUGAAAACUCAAAAACACUCACAGAAAUCUUUAAAGUUCAAAGUAAAAUUAAUGUCAAAGUAUGUAUUAUUUUCUUGCAGGCAUUCACAGUAGAACA